UACAAACACCAGCAAAACAGUUCUCCCGAACUUCAACAGAAACUUAAGCCAUGCUUACAUCUUCCUUCAGAGGUUAUCUGGCAUGCUUAGUUAUAAACUUCUCCUUCUGAAUAGGUCUUUAAGGUGGAGUAGCUCACUCCUGUUAGCUCUUUUCCGUGAGAAAGCAUGGCUCUGCUAAAGGUGCACGGACCUGUCCGGAUGCGCAGCAUGCAGACUGGGAUUACAAAAUGGAAAGAAGGGAGCUUUGAAAUUGUGGAGAAGGACAACAAAGUGAGUCUGGUGGUUCACUACAAUGUUGGAGGGAGUCCAAAGACGUUUCAGCUAAGCCAUAACAUUAAAACUGUGACACUACGCCCAAAUGGUAGAAAGCUGUGCUGCCUAAUGCUAACACUAAAGGAUACCAGCUUCUUGACAAUUGAUAAGGUACCAUUUAAAGAUGCAAAUGAAAUGCGGAUGUAUUUGGAUGCAGUUCAUCAAGACAGGUUUCAUACAGUUGGAAAACCCUCACAGGGAUCUGGCAGCUUUGGAGGUGUGCUGGGCAGCAGGACCACACAGAAGGAAGUUAAUAGGCAAUUCUCUUACAUAGAGAACCAGACUCCUUCCAAAAGAGUGGCUGUGGAAAGUAAGGAGGAAAACGCAUUGCGCAAGGUGCUGGGUACCCCACCGAGAGUGUCCGUUAAGAAUCCCUCUGGAACUGGAACACCUAGCAACAGGGUGAACAUCUCAGCAUCUCCUGCACCCACAGUCCCCCACAGAACGGGCUUGUUGGAGAAUCGUGAAAAGAGGAAAAGAGCACAACCUCCUGGCUCAGAAAUGAGUGAAGAUUAUCCCAAAGAGAAUGAUUCUUCAACGAAUAAUAAAGCCUUGAGUGAUCCAGCAUGGAAGUACUUGAACAGUAGCAGAGAGAAACAGUUAAAUCUGAAGCAGGCAGAGGAAAAUAGGACAUCAGGUAUUUUACCGCUGCAGUCAUCAUCCUUUUAUAGUAGUCGGUCUUCAUCAAAAGAGUACUCCAGUGGCAGUUCCACCCUGGACAGGUCUAGUGUAUCCAGCCAGAACCCUUCAGCCAAAAGAAGCCUAGGAUUUCUUUCUCAGCCUGCCCCUCUUUCUGUUAAAAAAAUGAGAUCUAAUCAAGAUUACACAGGGUGGAACAAACCCCGAGUGCCCCUUUCCACCCAUCCUCAACAGCAACUACAAGGCUUCUCAAACUUGGGAAACACCUGCUAUAUGAAUGCCAUUCUACAGUCCUUGUUUUCAAUUCAGUCUUUUGCUAAUGAUUUGCUCAAGCAGGGUAUCCCAUGGAAAAAAAUUCCGCUGAAUGCUCUUAUCAGACGUUUUGCCCAUCUGCUUGCUAAAAAGGAUGUCUGCAGCCCUGAGGUUAAGAAGGAGCUGCUCAAGAAGGUGAAAAGUGCCAUUUCAGCUACUGCAGAGAGAUUUUCUGGGUACAUGCAAAACGAUGCACAUGAGUUCUUGAGCCAGUGCCUGGAUCAGCUGAAGGAAGACAUGGAAAAGUUAAACAAAACUUGGAAGAGCGAGCCAGUCCCUAAUGAGGAGAACUCACCAGGACGGGCUUCUGAUGACCUCUCAGCCACCAAAGUUUAUACAUGUCCAGUUAUCAGUAACUUAGAGUUUGAGGUUCAACAUUCUAUCAUUUGCAAAAUGUGUGGUGAAACAGUCACUAAACGUGAACAGUUUAAUGACCUCUCCAUUGACCUUCCUCGAAGAAAGAAGUUGCUUCCUUCACGGUCGAUCCAGGAUUCCCUUGACCUCUUUUUUCGGGCAGAGGAGAUUGAGUAUUCCUGUGAGAAGUGCAAUGGAAAGUCUGCUGUUGUCACACACAAGUUCAACAGGCUUCCCAGAGUCCUGAUUCUUCAUCUGAAACGAUACAGCUUCAAUGUAGCAUUGUCCCUCAAUCAUAAAGUUGGGCAGCAGGUGGUUAUUCCAAGAUACUUGACCCUGCUUUCACACUGUACGGAGAACACUAGGCUGCCGCUGACACUGGGAUGGAGCGUUCAUUCUGCAGUUCCCCGUCCUUUGAAAGCCUCCCAGAUGGUGAAUUCCUGUACUGUAAGCACUUCCACAUCUUGUAGAAAAUACGCUUUCAAGUCAAAGAGCUCCUCAGCACUCUCUGUAGACUCUGACAGCGAUGAUGAGCCAUUGAAACGCUCUGUUGCCCAUAGCCAAAGGUUGUGUAACGUACAGAGCAAGGAUCAGCAACAGCCACAAGAAGAGCCUGAAAAGGGUUCAAAGAGAAGUAAAAUGGAGGGCGAUAAACCUGAGCUGGGUAAUGCUGGUUUUGAUGGGAUGAGCGAAGAUGAGCUGCUAGCAGCUGUCUUAGAGAUUAGCAAAAGGGAAGCUUCUCUGUCUCUGAGCCAUGAUGAAGAUAAGCCUACAAGCAGCCCAGACACUGGUUUUGGAGAUGAUGAAAUUCAAGAGUUACCAGAAAGCCUGGAAUCUAUGGAGAUGGAGAAACCAAAAGCAACAUUAGACUCAGGUCCUGCCAAUUUCACUGAGAUAACUAAAGAUUUUGAUGAGAAUAAGGAAAACAAAACUCCGGAAGGCUCCCAAGGGGAGGUUGACUGGCUGCAGCAGUACGAUAUGGAGAGAGAGAGGGAAGAACAAGAGCUCCAGCAGGCGCUGGCUCAAAGCCUUCAAGAGCAAGAGGCACGAGAACAAAAAGAGGAUGAUGACCUUAAACGAGCCACGGAAUUAAGUCUACAAGAGUUCAACAGCUCUCUCCUGGACAGUGUUGGUUCUGAUGAAGACUCUGGGAAUGAAGAUGUUCUUGACAUGGAGUAUUCAGAAGCUGAAGCAGAAGAGCUGAAAAGAAACGCUGAGAGAGGAUUUCAGCCAGCAUAGUAGUUUAGUUGCAACGCCAUGGGCUUCUAGAUCCUGCACCACCAGAACUGAGAAGCUGUGGCAAUGUCUUACUCCCAUUAGAGGAAACCUAACUGUAACCUAGGCUGUGCUUCUGGCAGCUGGCAUGCUCAGACUCCACGCAGCACUGUUGUGAAACUUGCCUGCUUGCCUUGGUGGAAGGAGUACUGUGUAGCAUGGAAAAGACAGGAGAGCUUCCUCACUCGUACCGUCUCAUAAGCAUUGUGAGCCACAUCGGAAGCACAUCAUCUUCAGGUCAUUAUAUCAGUGAUGUCUAUGAUAUCAAGAAGCAGUCCUGGUUCACCUACAAUGACCUGGAAG